UGAAACAGGAGUGCUUUAUGGUCUGAGUGGAGUGUUUGGGAGGAGUGCCUCCCGGCUCCUGCCUUCGGGCUCACCUGAGCGGGGGCGCAGCUGAGGCCACUGUGGGAAACACAACCCCCACUCCCAGGAGAGGCCUCACAUGCUGCCUUCGGUCUCGCCAGCCUUCUAGCGUGGGGCCUGGGCCGCCCUUUAGGGUGAGUCUGCACACCCGUGUUCAGGGCUCCCGGCCGGAAGCGGAACCAUAGGCAUGCUGCGGCCCCAGAUGAGCGCGGAGGGCAAGCAGGUGCCGGGGCAGCGCACACCCCACAGCCAAGCGGCCCCUGCCCAGCCUCUGUAAACAGACCCUCACAGGUCCCUCCUGGGCCUCAGUCACAUCCCUGAGAAACACUGGCGGCUCUGCCCCGAGAGGGCCAGGGUGUCCACCGAGCCUGGCUGAAGCCAGCUGUCCCCUCCCUUCUUGCAGAGCAGGCUCACACUGGGCCUGAAGGCCCAGCACCUGCAGGGCCCAGCCUGGGGACCACCAAUGCCCGGCCUCUUCCAGCUCAGAAGCGCACACGGCAGCCACGGGGCAGCGGCAAAGGCGAUGGUACAGAGGCAAAUGCCUCCCCAGGCAGUGACAGGCACGCCCCCCGCCCCAGGGCGGCCACUGCCCACGCCGGCCUAGAGCUCCUCGUAGUCGCCACCCCCAGGGUGGCGGCCGCCCGGGGCCCCGCCCCCCAGGAAAGCCUCCAGCUCAUCGGCAGCCGUCCUCUCCCUGCUGCGCGGGGGCCGCUGCUGCCGCCGUCGCCGCUCCUCCUUGCCCUCCUCCUUGUCCUUGCUCUUCUUGUGUUUGCUCUUCUUCUUGGCAGCUUUUUCUUCUUCCUCUUUGCCUUUUUUCUUCUUCUUCUUCUUCUCCUUAGAGGGGGUUUUGCCCUCCUUACCUUCCUCACUGCUCUCCUUGGGUCCGGCCUCCUCCAGCCCCAGCCCGAAGAGGUCCGAGUCAUUCUUCAGUCUGAAGGCGGGGAGAGGGAGCUUGGGGGGUGGGGGCGGCUCGGCAGGGCCCUCAUCCUCGUCAGUCACAUCGGAGGGGUCAUCUCGCACGGGAAAGUCAUCCGCCCUGCGCUGUGUGUCUGAUCCCUCGCUCUCAAAGUCGGGGUCAUCCAUGACGAAGGACAGCAUUUGUGCAGCAAUGGGUCCCUCGGGGUCACUCUCCGACGAGGAGGCCUGCUCACCCUUCCCCGGCUCCAUCUCAGCAGGGGGCCUGGUGCUGCUGCGCUUCUCCGGACCUUCUUCUCGUCCCUGGCGGGGGUUGUGUCUUCCAGGAAGCUGCGGUCCAGGCGGUCGUCAGGAACAAAGUCCUCCACACUCUGGACCGUUGCUGGGCCCUCUGCGGCCGGGACUGGCUCUGGAGGUGGAGGGGCUGCCUCGGUGGCAGGUGACGUCCCAAACAGCCUAGAGAUGAUGCUGCGCCGUGGGGCGGGGGCUGAGGGGCACGCAGGUGGGGGCAGGGCCUCUGAGGGUGGUACAGGGGGCACAGAGGAUGGUGGGGCGGCAUUGAGGGGCAGCUGUGGGGCGGGCUGGGGUGUGCCGGGGCUGGAGCUCCCCGUGGACACAGCGCCUGCAGGCACCACUGGUGACUGGGAGCCCGGGGAUGGGCUCUGCCCGUUGGCCGCCAGUGGGGACGCAUGGCCACGGCUGCGAGCCUCCAUCAUCUCCAGGAAGAUGCCGUAGUUCUGGUCCUCCGUCUCCUGCUGCACCGACAGCUCCUCCAGCGUGGCGUCCAUGUCCAGCUGGUUCGUCUCCAGCUGCCGCAACAGCGUCUCCCUCUGAAGCUGCAAAAAUGGGAUAUUGAAGAACUUAUGAAGGUACUUUAGGCCGAAGCUGUUCUUCAUGGAAGACUCAGCAUAGCGGAAGUAGGAGGAACCUGGAGGUCUGUCCAGGUUGUCGAUGAAGUCACGCACGUCGUCCGGCAGGAUGACUCGGUGCUCGCCCAUGUCCCGGUAGUUUCCCAGCACGCACACUGGCACGUGGGUGGGCACUUUUGGAAGCUCCCGGAGAAUGUAAUUGAAGGUCCACUGCUUGGUAAUGUCGAACAUCAUGACCACCCCGUUGCAGUUCUUGUACACGUCCAGGAACUCAGCAUCCAGGGCCAUUUCAGACUCCGCCUCCUGGGGGUCGUUCUCCAUCUUUAAGCCGUCGCCUCGCUUUUUGCAUUUUCCUUUGUCUACUACAUCCCAGACUUCAACCUUCACGAUGUCAUCCGUGGUCUUGUAGCUCCAGUGGAUGCUGGUGACCUGGAUCUCCUGUGUGGGGAUGUACUCCUCCACGAACGGCCGGCCCUGCAGGCGGUGCCACAGCGCUGUCUUGCCCGUGUUCCUGUCUCCCCGGAUCACUAUCUUCAGGUGAGUGGUGCCCGGGGCUGGGCACCGUGGAGCGUCGGGGGCGCGGCGCCCCGGGCCGGCGGGCCCUGCUUGGCAUUAUGUAAUCACCCCCGGGCCGGGCAGCCGGGCCAACCCCGCCGCCGCCGACCCGCUCCACUGCACAGCGCGGCGGGAGCGACACGCGGCAGGCGAGUGCGGCUGGGAAACGACCCGCGGCUCGGGGGCCGCGAGGACCCGGCCCUGGCCUGGCCUCUCCUCGCGUCCCCUGGCCCGCGCCCCCGCUCCCGGAGCGCCCGGCGGGCCCAGCGCACCCCACAACCGGCAAGCAGGUGAGACCGACACCCACCACCGCGCGGCGCCCGGGGCCUGGGUUCGGAGACCCGCGCGGCGCUCCCGCGCCCCCCCGGCCCGCCGCACUCACUUCCUGCAGGUACAACUGAUGCACCCUGUAGCCCCGCUGUCCCUCCAGGAUGUCCCGGUGGGAUGGGAGCCGGCGCCACCCCGACCUGUGUUCCAGCCACCCGCCUGCAGCCCGGGCCCCAGUUCCGGGGCCUGUACCGAUCAUAUCCUCCUCCCGGUUCUCAAAGCUGAUCCUGGUGUUGUACUUCUCCAUCAGAGUCGAGGACUCCAGGGUGUCCCUCACCUUUGUGUCGCCCUGCAGGGCAAAGCCCCCUUCAGCCGUGCAGACACUCUGAACGGGAGCCUGUCAGCUUUGAGGGGACGUGGGCUGUGCAGGUUCCUCCCAGCCCGGGGCUACCUCCUCGGUCCUGGACACCAUCUGCACUCUGUCAGCCAGCAUGUCUGUCAUUUUCUUCUCAACGGACUUGAAGCUGCAGAAGGCAAUAGGGACACAGCAGUGAGGGGCACAGGCCCGAGAGCCAUGGUGGGCCACCCAGGAGCCCAGUCCUGAGUUGGGUGCUGUGCCAGAAUCAGGGACUCAGAAGCUCAGCUCCAGGUUCUCCUCCGUGUUCCUCUGGGCCAGGAAGCGGCUAGUGAUGUCCUGGCCAGUCCGGGGGAGAGAGAAGCAGAGUGCCUCAGACCCCAGCCCAGCUCAGCCACCCUCCUGCCAUGCUCCGGGAGUGCCAGGGAGCAUUACCCAGACGUGAGAGGCUCAGCCACCCUCCUGCCAUUCUCUGGGAGCGCCAGGGGCAUUACCCAGACGUGAGAGCACCGUACAGCACUCUUGACCUUCUCCACCACAGCAGUCACGCCCGACUGGUAUUCCAUUUCUGCUGUGGAGGUCUCUUUUCUCCUCACUGGCAGAGCAGAGGGGAGGGGCAGUCAGCAUGCAGGGAUGGCUCAGGGGCUCUGUGUAAGGCUGUCAGACACCUCUGUACCUGCCCAGCUGCUGGGGCGGCCACCCAAGACACAGGCAUCCUUCAGAGAUGCCUGCCCCCGCCCCAACCUGCUCCCUCCUCAGCCCAGCCCUGCAGGGACGCCCCAGGCAGCCCCAGAGCAGAGGUGGACCCGGAGUGAGUGGCGCAGCACUGUGAGCACUGUGGGCCCGGUGGUGCUUCUCAGAGGCAGCUUAGGGGUCAGGAUGCUCAUCCUCUGCAGAGUCACUGGGGACUGGGCCCUUGGUGCAGGGCCCUUGGGUGCUGGGGCCAGCAUCUCUGAGGCCACAUUUGGCUACAGGCUCUCAGCCUCUGGAGGGAGAGGCAGGGACCUGUCCUUCCCUUCACCCUGGCGACCACAUGUCACACCUGGCCUCAGGGUGACUUGAUCCGUUGGCCUGAAUCAGUGCCAGCCUCUCCUUGGGACCCUGGCUGGGGGCAGGUGGGGAGCUGAGCGCUUACAUUUCAGGGUCUCCGUGCUCAUCAGGUUCGAGGGGAAGUCCAAGUCCAUCUGGCCCUGAUGGGAGGUGGGGGCGGGGAAGGGAUGAGACAUCCUUGGCAGGGAGUGGGCCCUGAGUGGUGGCCCUGAGCCUGUGUCCACCCAGCUGUCAUGGGGAUGGGCAGCCAGCCAGGCCCUGGCCUGGGGCUUACCCGGCGGUACUUCUCGCUGGUCUCCUUCGUGUGGAUCUUGUCGAUCAGCUUCUUCUGCUGGUUGAGCCGGUUCUCCCUUGCCCGGCGCUCCUCGAUGAAGGACGCCUCCCUUUGCCUCAUGUUCCUCUGGGGACAUGCGGGUGGGCACAGGGUUGGGGAGCUGUCUCAACAAGGCCCCUAAUGGCAGUAAAGCCAGCGGGCGGUUGGCCAUGCUCACCUUACUAGACUUUGGAACUGCAUCCCCGGCCAAUGGCCACACCCUUUUCCUAAACCACUUGUGCCCGUGGCCCCUCAGCUCACGGCCCUCCUUGCCCAUGCCUCAGAGCAUGUGCCAGCCCAGACGCUCUGCUGCCCUCCAGCCGCUGGCCCCCAGCUGCCUCCUGGCCAGGUCCACCUAGAACUCACGGAAGUGCAUUCAGCCUGCCUGAAGACAGAUUCAUCCUCUUCCCCAAAACCUGGCCUCUUCCAGCGUGCCCUUGGGCAGCUAAAACCGUCAUCUGCUAACCCCUGCUCACGCACCCCAGACACUGCUCUCACCCUCGCCACUCUCGUUGCCAGCGCUUAGUGGGGUUGCCUCUUGAGGAGUUCUCAGCUCCGUUGCUCCUGGCCACCCCUUCUCCACCCCGGGUAUACCCAGGUGAUCAGCGCUUCUGCCCUGGCACCUUCCAGUCCCUGCAGCCUGAGUACACCCUUUCUGAAGCACAGACCUGGUCACAUCUUUCCUCCACCUCCUCCCAGGGCUCCAGGUCAGUCCUUGGGCCCCCAGCCCAGCCGCCUCCGUGGACUCCUGGGGCCUGUGCCUCUGCAGCCUCCACUGCCCUGGCCACACGCUGCUCCAUGUAUCACACCCCUCCCAGCCCAGGGCCUUUUCCCAAGUUGUACCUCCUCCUCCCUAGCCCUGGCCACACCUGACCUUUGCGGGUUCAAUCCCUCAGCCCAGCUCAAGCACUGUCUUCCUGGAAAGCCAUCUGCCACCCCACCUGUCUCUGCUGAGCUGGCUCAGGGGCUGUGUGGCAUUUCUUCAUGGACUACUGGAUGAGUGCCACCCACUUCAGGAGGACAGGGUCUGCCUGUCCCGGUCCCUGCUGUAUCCCCAGAGCCUUGCAGGGACCUUGGCACAGACUGGGUGAAUAGGUGACCCCCGCCCUGGCCCGGCCAGUUCUCUCCCUCUCCUCUACUUCAUGGCUCCUGUGCUGGAUGGGACCUGCUCUGUCCAGUGGGUGAGCAGAGCAGGCUGGCCGGGCUGGCCACUGGAUCCUUCUGGGGAUUGUAGGCAGUGUGGGCAUGGGGGUCUCCUGAGAGACCCUGGCCAGAAGACACAAGAGAGCCCGCCCUGGGGGGCCCCAGCCCUGGGCCCUGAGCUCACCUUGACCCCAUCCGAAGAUCCAAGAGGGCUGGCCCUGGGGGGCCCCCAGCCCUGGGCCCUGAGCUCACCUUGACCCCAUCCGAAGAUCCAAGAGGGCUGGCCCUGGGGGGCCCCAGCCCUGGGCCCUGAGCUCACCUUGACCCCAUCCGAAGAUCCAAGAGGGCUGGCCCUGGGGGGCCCCCGGCCCUGGGCCCUGAGCUCACCUUGACCCCAUCCGAAGAUCCAAGAGGGCUGGCCCUGGGGGGCCCCCAGCCCUGGGCCCUGAGCUCACCUUGACCCCAUCCGAAGAUCCAAGAGGGCUGGCCCUGGGGGGCCCCCGGCCCUGGGCCCUGAGCUCACCUUGACCCCAUCCGAAGAUCCAAGAGGGCUGGCCCUGGGGGGCCCCCAGCCCUGGGCCCUGAGCUCACCUUGACCCCAUCCGAAGAUCCAAGAGGGCUGGCCCUGGGGGGCCCCCAGCCCUGGGCCCUGAGCUCACCUUGACCUCAUCCGUGAUCAUCAUGGCAUCUUGGGACAUGAUCUUCAUAUCCGACAGCUCUGAGCAGUAGUUGACCACGAGGUUCUGCAGCUUGUCCAGCUCAAUGGGGUAUCCUGCCAGCACCUGUGUUGAAUGGGGUUCUCUUGUGGCCCCUACAGAGUGGGCUGCAGUUGCCCCGAGCUUUUAUCCCCCGACUAAGAGCCCUGAGAACAGUGAUAGGUUCUCCUCUGUGGCCCCAGCCACCUCCCCCACUCCCCGCUGGGCACAACGGUGAUGAAAGGUGUUUCACAGGGAGUGGACAGUGCUGGCCUGGUGGACUCUUUCACCACCUAGGGUCCAACAACCCAGAGAGACUGAGAGAGUUUGUGAUGAAAUGCUCUGCAGAAAAGGCUGACUGAAACCCGGGGAGGUUUGGGGACAGUUCUGCUUUGAAGUGAAACAGAGGGGCUCAAGACAUGGGCUUGGGGUCAGAGAGUCAGGAUUCAAGGCCAAGGCAGCUUCUGACCAGCUAGUUUAGCUGUGUGACAUUGGGAAAGUUACUUAAUCUCUCUGUGUCCCCAUUUGUAAGAUGAUGGCUCGUUCAGAAGGUUGCCAUCAGGAUGAAUUGAGUGUAAAAGGAAUUAUUUAGCCCAGAACCAGGUACAUACGUGCUCAGGAUAGCUUUGCUAUAGUGGUUUGUUUUUUGUAACUACAAGUAUAGGCCAGGUGCGGUGGCUCACGCCUGUAAUCCCAACACUGGGAGGCCGGAGGCAGGCAGAUCAUGAGGUCAGGAGUUAGAGACCAGCCUGGCCAACAUAGUGAAACCCUGUCUCUACUAAAAAUACAAAAAAAAUCAGCCGGGCGUGGUAGUGGGCGCCUGUAAUUCUAGCUAUUCGGGAGGCUGAGGCAGGAGAAUCGCUUGAACCCGGGAGGCGGAGGUUGCAGUGAGCCGAGAUCUCACCACUGCACACCAGCUGGGGCAACAGUGUGAAACUCCAUCUCAAAAAACAAAACAAACAAAAACAAAACUAGAAGUGUAGAAUCUUCAUUUUUAAAAAUAUGGAUGACUAUGGGA
rnacentral:lncRNA from 1 species